AUGUCUAUAUCAUGUGGAAACACCAGUUCUCAUACAAUCACCAAAGCUAAGCAACAUAGAGCCUGGCCAAUAACUAGAUGGGCGACAGCUUGGGAAUAUCAGGUGCUGUAAG